UGCAAGUCGAACGGCAGCACGAGAGCUUGCUCUUGGUGGCGAGUGGCGAACGGGUGAGUAAUAUAUCGGAACGUAUCCAAUAAUGGGGGAUAACUAAUCGAAAGGUUGGCUAAUACCGCAUACGCCCUACGGGGGAAAGCAGGGGAUCUUCGGACCUUGCGUUAAUGGAGCGGCUGAUAUCUGAUUAGCUAGUAGGUGAGGUAAAGGCUCACCUAGGCUUCGAUCAGUAGCUGGUCUGAGAGGACGACCAGCCACACUGGAACUGAGACACGGUCCAGACUCCUACGGGAGGCAGCAGUGGGGAAUUUUGGACAAUGGGGGCAACCCUGAUCCAGCCAUUCCGCGUGAGUGAAGAAGGCCUUCGGGUUGUAAAGCUCUUUCGCAAGGGAAGAAACGUUACGAGCGAAUAACUCGUGAUAAUGACGGUACCUUGAUAAGAAGCACCGGCUAACUACGUGCCAGCAGCCGCGGUAAUACGUAGGGUGCGAGCGUUAAUCGGAAUUACUGGGCGUAAAGCGUGCGCAGGCGGUUUUGUAAGUCAGAUGUGAAAUCCCCGAGCUCAACUUGGGAACUGCGUUUGAAACUACAAGGCUAGAGUAUGGUAGAGGGGGGUAGAAUUCCACGUGUAGCAGUGAAAUGCGUAGAGAUGUGGAGGAAUACCAAUGGCGAAGGCAGCCCCCUGGACUAAUACUGACGCUCAUGCACGAAAGCGUGGGGAGCAAACAGGAUUAGAUACCCUGGUAGUCCACGCCCUAAACGAUGUCUACUAGUUGUUGGGAGAGUAAAAUCUCUUAGUAACGCAGCUAACGCGUGAAGUAGACCGCCUGGGGAGUACGGUCGCAAGAUUAAA
rnacentral:rRNA from 1 species